ensembl:lncRNA
AAUCCCUGGGUUGGGAAGAUCCCCUGAAAGAGGGCAUGGAACCCACUCCAGUAUUCUUGCCUGGAGAAUCCCAUGGACAGAGGAGGCUGCCUGGCUACGGUCCAUGGGGUUGCAAAGAUCUGGACAUGACUGAAGUGACUUACCACGCACACACCCUAGGGAGAGCUCUACAGUCCAAAAUCCGAAGUAUUCAGAGCAAGCAGUACUGGCUGCUGAAUGUCUCCAGGGUGUCUUCAGGUGAAACAGUUUGGUAACAAGCUAACUGGGACCACAUCUGCCUUCCCUCAUCAGCAGAAGGAGCUGUGAGCACUCAACUUCCCCAGCCUCCAUAUUCUCCAGGUGCCCUGCAGCCAGCAUUCCCAGUCACCCCUGUUGAAUAGCUGGUACCUGAAUUGAGAGCAUUUGGCACCCACAUUCAGGCAGGUUCUAACUUACUUUCAAGGCCACUGUCAUGCUUGCCCCAUAAAAGGGGAACCUCAGGGUGUGGGUUCCUCUGCUGACACACAGUCCCGCCCUGUACCAGUCUGCAGCCCAGCCCCACACCGCCUCUGCACGACGCCCAGAGAAGCCAGGACCCGUGCAAGGCCAGCCCCUUCCACCAUCGCUCCAGGUGGCACCAGGCAAGGCUGGCUGGUGCUUACCUCAGGCCUGUGGCUUAAUCCUAAUUCCAAGGCUCCUCUGUCCUUGGGAUUCUCCUGGCAAGAAUUCUGGAAGUGAAAAGUGAAGUCACUCAGUCGUGUCCGACUCCUUGCGACUCCAUGGACUGUAGCCUACCAGGCUCAUCCGUCCAUGGGAUUUUCCAGAGCCUUCUUAUAAGGACACGGGCCGUCAGACUUAGGACCUGGCCUCUUCCAGCAUGACUGCAUCCUAACGUGAUUACAUCGGCUAAAAGCCUGUUUCCCAAUAAGGUCGCAUUCACAGGGGAGAGGAUCGAGUUAAAAUCUACAGGAAACACUUCCAUCCAGGAAUCUUUUAAAGCUUGUGCCAACAUCAACAACAAGGAGCACGUUUGGAAAGUGCUUUGCAAACCUCCACAGAGAGUGCCACAUCACUGAGACAGUGAAGUCAGGGAUGUUUACAAAACACCUGUGCAAAGGAGCUGCUAGUACUGGGUAUUUGUUUUUAAGUCCUGCUUAUGUACACAGUUGUGCUGAGGCCUUAAGGGGACAGGAAUCAUUCUCCUCUUUAAUAAACAAGGAAACUGAGUCACAGCCACUGGUUGGACUGUCUUCAUUGCAACUUGGAUCCUGUCACGUGGCACGGACCUGGGUUUUGGAGGUCGACCUCACAGCAAGUUUAUGGGGUGACCAUUUGACUUGGGACCUUAGGCACAGUCACCAUGUGGACUGCAUCCGGCAAGUGGUGGAACUGGGCAUGGAAAUAAAGCAAGUCC